UACAGAGGUCUCAAGCGUUGUUCGGAUUCAUUGGGCGUAAAGGGUGCGUAGGCGGCGCGGUAAGUCGGGUGUGAAAUCUCGGAGCUUAACUCCGAAACUGCAUUCGAUACUGCCGUGCUUGAGGACUGGAGAGGAGACUGGAAUUUACGGUGUAGCGGUGAAAUGCGUAGAUAUCAGGAAGAACACCUAUGGCGAAGGCAGCGCUCUGGGACGGUACUGACGCUGAGACGCGAAAGCGUGGGGAGCGAACAGG
rnacentral:rRNA from 1 species